rnacentral:rRNA from 1 species
CCUACGGGAGGCAGCAGUGAGGAAUAUUGGUCAAUGGACGAGAGUCUGAACCAGCCAAGUAGCGUGAAGGAUGACUGCCCUAUGGGUUGUAAACUUCUUUUAUAUGGGAAUAAAAUGUUCCACGUGUGGGAUUUUGUAUGUACCAUAUGAAUAAGGAUCGGCUAACUCCGUGCCAGCAGCCGCGGUAAUACGGAGGAUCCGAGCGUUAUCCGGAUUUAUUGGGUUUAAAGGGAGCGUAGGUGGAUUGUUAAGUCAGUUGUGAAAGUUUGCGGCUCAACCGUAAAGUUGCAGUUGAAACUGGCAGUCUUGAGUACAGUAGAGGUGGGCGGAAUUCGUGGUGUAGCGGUGAAAUGCUUAGAUAUCACGAAGAACUCCGAUUGCGAAGGCAGUUCACUGGACUGCAACUGACACUGAGGCUCGAAAGUGUGGGUAUCAAACAGGAUUAGAUACCCGUGUAGUC